UCUUAAAGAGUUUCAAAUAAUAGGACCUCUACCUUAAGCAUUGAGCAAAAAAGAAAAAAAAAACUUUUUAUGCUUUAUCAAAAUGCAGCAUUACACUUACAGUACAUACAGUAAUGGACAUGUAAUACAUGUACUGUAGUCAGAGACUUUCUGCUCACAACAGACACUUGAAAUGUUAAUAUCAAGUGUAGAAAGGGCUGUUGAGUAACUUUGAGGGAUCUGAAUGAGGGACAAGAUGGCCUACAAGGUCUGUUAUGUGCUGUAGACUUAUAAUAAUGCUGCUGGUGGCAGGACACAUGACCUCACUCUAGUGUAGGCGCUACUGUCUGGAGCUUGAUUGGCCAAAUGUAAACAUUUUAGCACUAAACCUUGCCAAAGGUGAAAUCAGACUUGAGACCUCCAGCACAGGGCUGCUUUUGCACUUUUAAAGCCAGAAGUGUAAGAAAGAAUUACUUGCACUCACAACAUGCUCAGAAAGAUGGAUUUUUGUACCAUGCAGGGUAAAAAAUUUAAUUGAGCCAACAAAUCAUAGUUUGUGCAUUAACAAGUGACCUAAAGUGAAUCUGAUGCAGUUAAAUCAGACUGGCCUGUUAGGAGCAGUAAGAAAAAACAGACAGGUUAUCCACAACCUGGGACAGACAAGUAAAAACACACUAGUGAUUUACUGCUACUUUUAACCACACCAGUAUUACACAAUAUGAUGGGUUCCAUAUUAUAUUCCCACAGAGAUUGGCUAUUGAAACAUCCAACCAUGAAAUUUCAGGCAAUUUUGUGCAUUCAACUUACCGGCAUGUCACCAAGAGCACAAGAUCAGACAGUCAAAGAGAAAUAAAUACUACAAUUACUUCACAAGUCAAGAUUAUUUACACAAAAUAAAGAAUCUGUUACCACGUGUGCCAAUCAUAUGACCCGUAGGACCACCAGACUGUUUUCAUCCUCUUUCCUUUCAUUGCUCAGGAACACAGAAAAGGGACUGUCUCAGAGAAACAUGCGGUUUUUCCAUGGCACUGCCUCUUCUGCUCGAGGAAAGCUUACACCCUCUGUGUGUUGAUACAAUGUGAUUAGUUUAUCAUAGAAGCCUGUGGCUACAGCGCUCUAUACUUUAGUAGUCAAUCUGGUAGUCUUUAUGUGUGCAUGUACGUGUGGAGUGAAUGACAGAAUGCUCCAGGAAUCCCACUGAGCACACCCGGGCCAACGGGAUGUCACAUGGGAGCACACUGAAAGCCACAGAUCUGCUAAAGAUGAAUGAAGCCACUAAUUCAUGCUCUGGCCUCCCAUGUCCCACUGACUUUGAGAGCAAAGGACUUUUUUCCUUUCAGUGUAGGGUCUUUUAUUUUCCAUCACCACUAAAUCAAUACUUGAGGGGCAGAAGACGGAUGGUCACGGUCACGUCAGAAUUCAUGUGGUAGAUCUAGCAUUAUGGAAUUUUGACAGCAUUAUUCAUUUCCUUUUUAUUGAUGAGGAAAGCGCUGCCGCACAUCCAAUGUCUGGAAAACAAAGGUGAGGAAAGAGGAGACAGCAAAAUUGGGGAUGGGAUGUCAGAGCUCUGUCAAAUUUAGAGAUUGAAAACGAUGGAUGGAUUUGAGAGAGUGGCCAGCCCAGCCAAAUCUAAAUUGUGCGCAACAGAUUUUACAGCCAGGACCGUCAUUUGUCCAGAGCAGAGAAAUGAAAAGUUUGUUUUAAAGAUUGAAGUCAGGGACCAAACAGUGAGCUUCUUUAUACAGUACAUGCAAGUUUAAAAAGCUCUGUGUAUGUUCCGAGUCAUUUUAUUAUUAUAUCUCUGCUUAAUUCUCUCAACUGUGUGUAAAUGAAAUUUAGCCCAAAAUAUCUGGCUUAAUCAGCUGGUUGGUCAGCUCUCAGCAGCAGCCACAAUAUAAGAAGUAACUGUAACUUGUUACUGGGACAGUAUCCUCUAAAGGUAAACCAGUGUGCCAUAUCUACCCUGAAUAGUGCACACAAGUAUCCUAUAUAACCUUUAAAGGGGUCUUGAACUGUGUUUGUUUUUUAUUUUGUAUGCACGGUUCUCUGAUGUCUACUUAUAAAGUCAAUAUUUUACAUCAAAAUAUGUCCUAAUUUAGAAGUAAUCGGCUAUUUUUGACCCCCUCAUUGGAACGCUCUGUUUGAACAGGUGUGGUGGAUAACAGACUCAGAAAUAAAUGCCCACUGCUAUGAUUGGCUAACAGUUUUGAAGUUUUUCAUAGAUGGACGCUGCAGUGAUUUAGGUAGUCAGUACAUAGCAAUAAUGACCAUGUGAUAAAAACAGUAACCCACACUCAUCGACAUUCCUGUCAGAUCCAGUAUAGUCGGUACAGUGUCUUCUUUUAGUUUCAAUCUUUCUGAAAAUCCUGUGUCAAAUUGUGCCUUGUUUGUAAACAAAUAUGUGUUCAAAUUUAGAGAACAAAGGAAAGAGUGCUUACUGACGUGGUCUGGAUCUUCAUUAAAAAUAAAGUUUAUACACUCUCUCCUAACGUUGGGAUCAGAAUUUGGCACUGCAUAGCAUCCUGUUGUCUUCGGAGCAUCUUUAUUGUUUUGUUUCUGCGUAGACCUGUGUUUGUCUCUCUCAUUAUUUACACUACAGGUGUGAAUCAGUGGGUGGGGCUAAAGAGGCAGCGAUGUAGAAGCAGGCAUUGAUGAACUUCUGCGGAGGCGGUGUUUAGCCACACUAUUACAUCAUAGAGUGGUACACUCCGCAAGCUGUCGUUUUGGCAGAUUGGCUUCAAAAUAAGUUGUUUUUAGACUAAUGAGAAAGUUAGAAACUUUGAAACUUACAGGAAGUUUUUAAUAGUACAAUGACCUCUUAUAUAUCUAGAGAUCAGAGGAAUUUUGCUUUCUCCGUUCAUGACCCCUUUAAGGCAGUGGUUCCAAACCUCUUUCACUUGACAUUGUAAACCACCACUAUAUCAGAAGGAUCCCUAUACUAAAUAACAUAAUAAUUCCUCUGGUAUUUCUGCUGUAAUUAUGAUAGUUUCAAGUAUCGGAUUUUUGUUAACUGAAAUGGAGAGUGCUGAAAUAAUUAUAUACUGAAAUAAUUAACUACUAGGUUGGAAGGGGAAUGUGAAUACAUUAAGAAUAUGAUUUCAGUUUACAAUUUUUGUUUGUCUGUUUAGCAUUUGUACUGAGAUUUUUCAUAAUAUAAUUAAGUCAUCCUAUAGCCUCCUUGGAAGUUUGCUGAGGCCCCAAACUGAUCUUUAUUUAUAGUGUGAUUUCAUAUGAAUUUGUACAGUGUGAAUCUU
ensembl:lncRNA